rnacentral:tRNA from 3 species
GGAGGAUUAGCAUAAUUGGUAAUGCAGCAGUCUUGAAAACUGCCGGGUUUACGCCCUUGGGGGUUCGAGUCCCUCAUCCUCCG